CCAAGAAGUGGUUUGCCAACUGCCAUUAAAAAUCAAAAGAGGCAAAACCGCCAUUCCAGGACCGUCCACACAGGUGAAUCCAUCAGGUGAAUCACAGCAAGGAAACACGUGCUUUUAUCGAUCCUUCCCACCACUGACACAAAGCUGUUUUGAAAUAUUAUCUCCAAAUUGAACCGGUGAAGAAAGGCAUUGAUGCACUGGCUCUUCACACAGUGGGGACAGUGCACAAAGGAACCUCGAGAUGGCAGCACAAACACGAAAUUUGGGCAACCCACUCCAGGCCUUUUCCUUCAGCUUGUCUGAUCCAGCUGAUAGCAGCAGUGUCGUCAGAUAUCCCUGCAUAU